rnacentral:rRNA from 1 species
CUACGGGAGGCAGCAGUGGGGAAUAUUGGACAAUGGGGGCAAGCCUGAUCCAGCCAUGCCGCGUGAGUGAAGAAGGCCUUCGGGUUGUAAAGCUCUUUUGUCCGGGAGCAAAUCCUGGUGGCUAAUACCCAUCGGGGAUGAGAGUACCGGAAGAAUAAGCACCGGCUAACUACGUGCCAGCAGCCGCGGUAAUACGUAGGGUGCAAGCGUUAAUCGGAAUUACUGGGCGUAAAGCGUGCGCAGGCGGCUGAUUAAGCUUGAUGUGAAAUCCCCGGGCUCAACCUGGGAACUGCAUUGAGGACUGGUCGGCUAGAGUGUGGCAGAGGGAGAUGGAAUUCCACGUGUAGCAGUGAAAUGCGUAGAGAUGUGGAGGAACACCGAUGGCGAAGGCAGUCUCCUGGGCCAACACUGACGCUCAUGCACGAAAGCGUGGGGAGCAAACAGGAUUAGAAACCCUGGUAGUCC